rnacentral:rRNA from 1 species
GCGGUAAUACCUGCAGCCCAAGUGUUGACCGAUAUUAUUGAGCCUAAAGCGUCCGUAGCCGGUUUGGUAAAUCCUCGGGUAAAUCGAGCAGCUUAACUGUUCGAACACCGGGGAGACUGCCAGACUUGGGACCGGGAGAGGUCAGAGGUACUUCAGGGGUAGGGGCUAAAUCCUGUAAUCCUUGAAGGACCACCAGUGGCGAAGGCGUCUGACUAGAACGGAUCCGACGGUAAGGGACGAAACCCUGGGGCGCAAACCGGAUUAGAUACCCGGGUAGUCCAGGGCGUAAACGCUGCAGGCUUGGUGUUGGGGACCCUACGAGGGUGCUCAGUGCCGGAGUGAAGAUGUUAAGCCUGCCGCUUGGGGAGUACGUCCGCAAGGAUGAAACUUAAAGGAAUUGGCGGGAGAGCACAGCAACGGGAGGAGCGUGCGGUUCAAUUGGAUUCAACGCCGGG